AGCCUUAGGAAAUUAUUUAAGGUGAGCCCUGCCCAGUGAUUAUUUUAAAUGGCCGCAGUACUUUGACUGUGCUAAGGUAGCGUAAUCAGUUGGCUUUUAAAUGGAGUCGAGAAUGAAUGGGUUAACGGGGAUUAGCUGUCUCUUUUUUAUUUUAUUGAACUUAUUUAAAGGGUGAAAAUACCCUUAAAUUAGAAAAUAGACGAGAAGACCCUUAGAGUUUCUAAAAAAGAUUUUUAUAAUUUCGACUUUUUUGUUGGGGCGACAGGAAAACAAAUAAACUUUUUCUAUUUUUGUUAUCGGACAAUUUUUUUAAGAAAAGUUAAACUACCUUAGGGAUAACAGCAUAAUGUUUUAUUAAGCUUGUGACCUCGAUGUUGGACUAGGAAUUUUAUUGACUAGCCGUCAAUAAGACUUGUUCUGUUCGAACUUAAUUUCCU
rnacentral:rRNA from 1 species